AACAUGUUUUGUUGAAGGAUUAUUGAUGAAUAAUUUUCCACAAAAAAAUGGAUUUUAACCACGAUAGGAAAAUGAGAACCUGCGCCUAUCCGUUUAAACCGAUUGUAGAAUUUAUGGAAAGAUAUGGCGAUCUGAGUAUGCCCACUGAAGGGCCCCAAGAAAGAGCCAACAAUAGUCAACGGUGGGUGGAACUAACGGACACGCGAACGUGAAAUGCUGAUGCCACCGGCGACACGAAAACUACUGAGAAAUUGAGAAAAGUGUGGAGUGACUUUAAGCAGCAAGAAGAAGGCAACUCGCAUACACAGAGCUGCCAAGGGAACACUGGACUGGUGGCGGUCCAGGUUCUUCCCUGAAGCCAAAGGAUUUAGAGCAGAGUGCUUGUAAAUAACAACUUGUAAAUUAAAUCCAUAAUAAAGACCUAGGGUAACUGGAUGGAUAUACCUACCUUAUUAUUGUAAAACUUAAGAUAUUAUAAUUAAUUAAAUACA